CGGAUGAGUUCCUUUUGGGGCAGAAAGCGACUCCUUUAGGAAGCUCUCUAGCAGCAGGAUCCACCUCACAGUUCCUGAAGGACCGAGCAAUACGAACAUCAUCUUCGACUUGUAUGUCUCUCUGGGGGCAUCCUGGACCUUCUGCUGCCCAGCUGUGGGGGUGAGGAGAAGCAGCAGCCCCCAGAGGAGAGUGUGACACAUCCACCCUAUGGCAUUAUCACAGAAACCUCUGACACGUCACACGCUUCUAGAAAUGCAAACCACCCUGCUGUUAUUUCUAUGCCCUACGUGUUCCCGCCAUCUUUAGAGGAAACAGCGACCAGAAAGCAAACCAAGCAAUGGAAGUAAACCAAAAGCAAAGAACAACCACCGCCACGCUUAAACAAAACAAACAAAAACCCACACGAAAAGAAAAACAACAAAACCAAACCACCCCAAACAGGAAGGGCGGUGUCCUCAAGAUGUACGGUGGCAGUUUUACGGUUUGGCUGACUGCUUCCUGAGCGGCUGAGCCCUCGGGACUGCCCCGCUGUUGCUGUUUCGGCACGCUGCUGCUCCCCGUUCCGCACUGCGCGCCGGUGAAGGGCAGCCCCGCUCUCUGUCGCUUCUCACGCUGCGGCCAGUCGGUCGGCUCCGGUCAGCCGUAAGAGAACUGUGAUCUUCACAUUCAGAAGGAAUCCUAAUCCUCCACUGACCAAACAGUGUAGGUGCUUGGUGCUUCACAAGUCAAGGCAGAAAUGUCAUUACACAGCGUGCCAGGGAAAUUCACUUUCCUGUUACUCCUUUGGAAGCUUCCUUCCCUGCAGCUUGUUCGCUUGUUUGCAGCAGCACACCGGCUUAUAUAGCCAAACUGCCCAGCCAGAGCAGGGAGUCACCACUUCCUACUUCUGCAGUGGAAAUGCCAAGUCUCAACCUGAAAAAGUGAUGGGGCACCUGGUGAGAAGGCAGGGCCAACCCCAGGGAGCUCAGGUGCAUGCAGUGCACCUGAAUGACUGCAAGGGGUAGAGCCAGGAGCCACCCCUUCCCAGUCCUCAUUUAAGGGUUGGCAAUGGAAGCAAGGGUAUCUUGCUGGGAAUUCCUGCCUAUGUGAGGCCUUCCAAAGGUAAGCAAAAGUUCUUCCUUCAUUUCUGUACCUACAGCUGCUGCAUUUGGGCUUGUCCUCAUUGGCUGCAGCCUAGGACUUUGCCACCUUGCCGUUAUUCCUGUGUUUUCUGUCACGUUAUAGCAUUACAGCUCCUUUGCCCUAGAUAUUGCCAGCAGCAACGCUGGCUUCAGUGAUAUUCCUCCCUGUUCAUCUGUGCCCUUGCACAAUCCAUGGGUUGCCUGAAGGCCUCUGCAGAGAAAUGACAGAAAAAUAGCACUUUUGUUGUUGUUGACUAAUUAUUAUUCAAUGGGAUUGGUUUGAGCUAAAUUAAAGUAUGGACUGGGGGCUGCUGAGCAGCUCACAGAAAAUGGUGUGGCCAUGUGUGCACUCCCAAUGCAAUCAGGGAGCUGAGCUCAACCAUUGCAUUUUGCAUAGGAGCUCACCUGGAGCUCUUAAAGGAUCGUUUGGUG
ensembl:lncRNA